rnacentral:rRNA from 1 species
CCCUUAGAUGUCCUGGGCCGCACGCGCGCUACACUGACAUGUUCAACAAGUUUCUCCUAGUUCGACAGGACUGGGAAAUCUUUGAACGCAUGUCGUGAUAGGGAUAGAUCAUUGCAAUUAUUGAUCUUGAACGAGGAAUUCCUAGUAAACGCAGAUCAUCAAUCUGCAUUGAUUACGUCCCUGCCCUUUGUACACACCGCCCGUCGCACCUACCGAUUGGAUGGUCCGGUGAAGCCUCGGGAUUGUGGUUCUUGCCGCUUUAUUGUGGCGUGACCGCGAGAACUUGUCUAAACCUUAUCAUCUAGAGGAAGGUGAAGUCGUAACA